CUCUCUCUCUUUCGACUAUUCUUCUUCCUCAAAUUUCUUCCUCUUUCUAUCUCUCUUCUCUCUCUUUCUUCUUCUCUUUCUCUUCCUUCUCUUUCUCUUGAGAUAAAACUAUAAUCCCUAAUCUAAAUAAUUUUUGCGUUUCCGAAAGACAUAUGAUUUCGGCGAAGUGAAAAUCGUUGCUCGGUGGAUCUGCUUCUCCUCUUUCUGCUUUUUAGGGUUAUUUGUAGGUUUUUGUAAAGAGGCUGUCCGAGGAAAAAAUGGAUGGUUUGAAAGAGUAGGUUUUGCACUAUGUCGGUGUUGGUUCGCGAUUUCAAAUUUGGAGUAGUAUGUCCUUUUGAUUGAUAACUCAAACAGCAGGUCCUUUUUCUAGCGAGUUUUCGUCGGGGAAGCAAGGGAAAUCGAAGGGGACGGAGUUCAAGCAGGCGAUAAAAGUUGGAGAAGAGGGAAACAAAUACUUUACUCGUCGCAUUUAUGGACCGACAUCCACCGUUUGGGUUCUGAUUAAUCUACAACUGCUGAUACAAUGGUGGUGGAUGUACUUAGAGACAAUAAGAAAAAAAGACACUGUGACGCAAGGGAAAGCCUAAUGAGAUAAGCAUUGGUUGGGAAAUUGAUAAGAUCUACAAGUUUGACGGAGGGUAGAAACUAACUCUUGAAAGCAUAGCUUCUUCCUAUUUAUACUUAAUGAUCCUUAUUGAGGAAACAUCCAAUGAUCUUGUGAUUUCAAGAGAAAGUCCUAUAUGAGUGAACUCUGUUACUGAUUGAGAUCCUUAUACUCCAUAUGAUGCACAAAUAUUUUAAUGACACGUGAUACGUCCCGAGUACACGGAGAAUUGUGCUUUCUGACAAGUGACAAAGCAUUUGAUCAAGUGUCUAUUAGUUGGCUUCCUUCCUUCUGACAUGGAUCGGUAUAUAUGAUGUAUAUAUGUUAAUGUAUAUAGUUGCAGUUUGUGAUCAUCUCUUUGUAAAAGCUCAUAUGAUGCUAUAUGUGGAUCUGCCAUGAAUGCAUAGUUAAUUAUAUAACUAUUUCUCUGCUCAGGUAUGGAAUGAAACAUUUUUGUUGUUGCUUAGUAUAAUUGAUUCAGUACUAUGGAAGGGUCAUUUGCAGGGACCAAUUGAUAAUUUGCUUACACUAAUUAUGAUCAUUUGCAGCACUUGCAACACCAGCAUUCCACUACUCCCUUUAUAAGAUAUAUGUAUGUAUGUUGCUGCAGGACUGAAGAUAGUGGUUUAUGUUCUUAGGAGGGCGGUGGCAGUAGUUGCAUCAUCGAUAAUAUGAAAAGCUAUAUAUGUUUCUUGUAUCGCCGAUUUUCUGUUGUGCGGUGUUGUUUCUGGUUGUUGUAUUGAUGAUCUCAACGCGUAAACUUCGUUGUUUGGAGCAGCUGGUGGUAUGAGGAAUGUCAUGUGAUGCAUAUAGGUGUUAUUUCUAAGUAUGUGUUUCAAGUAUAGCAGUUGUCAUUGGGUGUAGUUAUGUUUUUAUUUUUUAAGGAUGUGGUUAUAUUGUGUUAUGAAAAGGCAACUUUGGUGUAACUGUUAUUUAUUUGGUUUGUUUUUGCUUUUGGCCUGGUGUAUAUAACACUGAUGUAACUUUGUAUU